rnacentral:rRNA from 1 species
UACAGAGACUGCAAGCGUGAUUCGGAUUCACUGGGCGUAAAGGGUGCGCAGGCGGCCAAGUGUGUGAGGCGUGAAAGCCCGGGGCUUAACCCCGGAAUUGCACCUCAAACUACAUGGCUAGAGCAUUGGAGAGGGUAGCAGAAUUCAUGGUGUAGCAGUGAAAUGCGUAGAUAUCAUGAGGAAUACCAGAGGCGAAGGCGGCUACCUGGACAAUUGCUGACGCUCAGGCACGAAAGCGUGGGGAGCAAAAGGG